rnacentral:rRNA from 1 species
UACGUAGGGGGCGAGCGUUGUCCGGAUUUAUUGGGCGUAAAGAGUGCGUAGGCGGUCCUGUAAGUUUGGUGUGAAAUCUCCCGGCUCAACUGGGAGGGUGCGCCGAAGACUGCAGGGCUUGAGUAUGGGAGAGGUAAGCGGAAUUCCUGGUGUAGCGGUGAAAUGCGUAGAUAUCAGGAGGAACACCUGUGGUGUAGACAGCUUACUGGACCAUAACUGACGCUGAGGCACGAAAGCGUGGGUAGCAAACAGG